rfam:Oryza rufipogon genomic scaffold, chr10
AAUAAAUACAGCUUUGCACUAUUCAUCUUCAACGUUUGAUCGUUCAUCUUAUUUGAAAAAAAAUUAUAAUUACUAUAUUUAUUGUUAUUAGAUGAUAAAACAUGAAUAGUACUUUAUGUGUGACUAAUUUUUUAAAAAAAAUUAUAAAUUUUUUAAAUAAGACGAACGGUCAAACGUUGGAUAUGGAUUUCCACGGCUGCACUUAUU